rnacentral:rRNA from 2 species
UGCAAGUCGAGCGGAUGAGUGGAGCUUGCUCCAUGAUUCAGCGGCGGACGGGUGAGUAAUGCCUAGGAAUCUGCCUGGUAGUGGGGGACAACGUUUCGAAAGGAACGCUAAUACCGCAUACGUCCUACGGGAGAAAGUGGGGGAUCUUCGGACCUCACGCUAUCAGAUGAGCCUAGGUCGGAUUAGCUAGUUGGUGAGGUAAAGGCUCACCAAGGCGACGAUCCGUAACUGGUCUGAGAGGAUGAUCAGUCACACUGGAACUGAGACACGGUCCAGACUCCUACGGGAGGCAGCAGUGGGGAAUAUUGGACAAUGGGCGAAAGCCUGAUCCAGCCAUGCCGCGUGUGUGAAGAAGGUCUUCGGAUUGUAAAGCACUUUAAGUUGGGAGGAAGGGCAGUAAGUUAAUACCUUGCUGUUUUGACGUUACCAACAGAAUAAGCACCGGCUAACUUCGUGCCAGCAGCCGCGGUAAUACGAAGGGUGCAAGCGUUAAUCGGAAU